rnacentral:rRNA from 1 species
AUACGUAGGGAGCGAGCGUUGUCCGGAAUUACUGGGUGUUAAGGGUGCGUAGGCGGGACUGCAAGUCAGAUGUGAAAUGCCGGGGCUCAACCCCGGAGCUGCAUUUGAAACUGUGGUUCUUGAGUGAGGUAGAGGUAAGCGGAAUUCCUAGUGUAGCGGUGAAAUGCGUAGAUAUUAGGAGGAACAUCGGUGGCGAAGGCGGCUUACUGGGCCUUUACUGACGCUGAGGCACGAAAGCGUGGGGAGCAAACAGGAUUAGAUACCCUGGUAGUCCACGCUGUAAACGAUGAUGACUAGGUGUGGGGGGACUGAACCCUUCCGUGCCGCAGUUAACACAAUAAGUCAUCCACCUGGGGAGUACGGCCGCAAGGUUGAAACUCAAAUGAAUUGACGGGG